rnacentral:pre_miRNA from 1 species
UGGGUCAGCGUACAUUCGGGCUUGGGUUAUACCCAGGGUUUACUGAGCCGUGGAGUAUAGCCUGAGCCCGACUGGUAAGAAGCCUUACUGUGG